rnacentral:rRNA from 1 species
UACGUAGGGUGCAAGCGUUAAUCGGAAUACUGGGCGUAAAGCGUGCGCAGGCGGUUUUGUAAGACAGGUGUGAAAUCCCCGGGCUUAACCUGGAACUGCAUUGUGACUGCAAGGCUGGAGUGCGGCAGAGGGGGAUGGAAUUCCGCGUGUAGCAGUGAAAUGCGUAGAUAUCGAGAGGAACACCAGUGGCGAAGGCGAGUCUCUAGACAACUCCUGACACUGAGGCACGAAAGCUAGGGGAGCAACAGG